CAGUCGUACCGACGGAAAAUCAGCUCUUUGAGUGCGGACUUGUGGGCUUACGUGAGUUUUAACACCUCGCUGUUUGCAACGUUCGUGUUUUUUGGGUGUACUUUUUCGUAUGGUUGGCCAAUAUCAGUUUUGAUCGCUAUAAAAUGACCGGCGGAAUGUAGCUUCGAUCUCGAUUGAAGUGUUAUAGCCUCUGGUAGAUGUGGUGAUUGGGACUGAGGAUUGCAACGAAUACCUUUUGGGCUAUCCGUCUGAUCUCUGAAGGUUGCUUAGGUGCCGAAAGCGUGCUUACGGUUAUUUAAGUUGACAGUCAAAAGGUUAGAACGUGAUUAUA
rnacentral:rRNA from 1 species